rnacentral:rRNA from 1 species
UACGUAGGGUGCGAGCGUUAAUCGGAAUUACUGGGCGUAAAGCGUGCGCAGGCGGUUUUGUAAGCCGGAUGUGAAAUCCCCGGGCUUAACCUGGGAAUGGCAUUCGGGACUGCAAGGCUGGAGUGCGGCAGAGGAGACUGGAAUUCCUGGUGUAGCAGUGAAAUGCGUAGAUAUCAGGAGGAACACCGAUGGCGAAGGCAGCUUGCUGGGACGGUACUGACGCUGAGACGCGAAAGCGUGGGGAGCAAACAGG